CCUACGGGAGGCAGCAGUAGGGAAUCUUCGGCAAUGGACGAAAGUCUGACCGAGCAACGCCGCGUGAGUGAAGAAGGUUUUCGGAUCGUAAAACUCUGGUGGUAGAGAAGAACGUUGGGGAGAGUGGAAAGCUCAGCAAGUGACGGGAACAACCCAGAAAGGGACGGCUAACUAAGGGCCAGCAGCCGCGGUAAGACGUAGGGGCCGAGCGUUGUCCGGAUUUAUUGGGCGGAAACCGAGCGCAGGUGGUUUAUUAAGUCUGGUGUACAAGGCAGUGGCUCAACCAUUGUAUGCAUUGGAAACUGGUAGACUUGAGUGCAGGCGAGGAGAGUGGCAUUCCCUGUGUAGCGGUGAACUGCGUAGAUAUAUGGAGGAACACCGGUGGCGAACGCGGCUCUCUGGCCUGUAUCUGCCACUGAGGCUCGAACGCGUGGGGAGCAAACAGGAUUAGAUACCCGGGUAGUC
rnacentral:rRNA from 1 species